rnacentral:rRNA from 1 species
AGUGAACGCUGGCGGCAGGCCUAAUACAUGCAAGUCGAACGGCAGCACAGCAGAGCUUGCUCUGUGGGUGGCGAGUGGCGGACGGGUGAGGAAUACAUGGGAAUCUGCCCAGUCGUGGGGGAUAACGUAUGGAAACGUACGCUAAUACCGCAUGCGCCCUUUGGGGGAAAGCCGGGGACCUUCGGGCCUGGCGCGAUUGGAUGAGCCCAUGUUCGAUUAGCUAGUUGGCGGGGUAAAGGCCCACCAAGGCGACGAUCGAUAGCUGGUCUGAGAGGAUGAUCAGCCACACUGGGACUGAGACACGGCCCAGACUCUGACGUGAGGCAGCAGUAGGGAAUAUUGGAAACUGGGCGCAAGCCUGAUCCAGCCAUGCCGCGUGAGUGAAGAAGGCCCUCGGGUUGUAAAGCUCUUUUGUCCGGAAAGAAAAGCAUUCGGUUAAUACCCGGGUGUGCUGACGGUACCGGAAGAAUAAGCACCGGCUAACUUCGU